UACGAAGGGGGCUAGCGUUGUUCGGAAUGACUGGGCGUAAAGGGCGCGUAGGCGGCGAUGUAAGUCAGGCGUGAAAGCCCCGGGCUCAACCUGGGAACGGCGCUUGAUACUGCGUUGCUUGAGGACGGGAGAGGAUGGUGGAAUUCCCAGUGUAGAGGUGAAAUUCGUAGAUAUUGGGAAGAACACCUGUGGCGAAGGCGGCCAUCUGGACCGUUUCUGACGCUGAGGCGCGAAAGCGUGGGGAGCAAACAGG
rnacentral:rRNA from 1 species